CCUACGGGUGGCAGCAGUGAGGAAUAUUGGUCAAUGGCCGAAAGGCUGAACCAGCCAAGUCGCGUGCGGGAUGACUGCCCUACGGAUUGUAAACUUCUUUUGUCAGGGAGUAACGCCACUUACGUGUGGGUCUUGGCGUGUACCUGAUGAAUAAGCACCGGCUAAUUCCGUGCCAGCAGCCGCGGUAAUACGGAGGGUGCGGGCGUUAUCCGGAUUUAUUGGGUUUAAAGGGUGCGUAGGCGGGUUAUCAAGUCAGCGGUAAAAUCGUGGGGCUCAACCCGGCCCAGCCGGUGAAACUGACGUGCUUGAGUGCGCUGAAAGUAGGCGGAAUGCGUGGUGUAGCGGUGAAAUGCUUAGAUAUCACGAAGAACUCCGAUUGCGAAGGCAGCUUGCCGGAGCGCAACUGACGCUGAUGCACGAAAGCGUGGGUAUCGAACAGGAUUAGAUACCCGAGUAGUC
rnacentral:rRNA from 1 species